rnacentral:rRNA from 1 species
CCUACGGGUGGCUGCAGUAGGGAAUAUUGGUUAAUGGGCGAAAGCCUGACCCAGCAACGCCGCGUGAACGAUGAAGGCCUUCGGGUUGUAAAGUUCUUUUGGCAGGGAUGAGGAAGGACAGUACCUGUCGAAUAAGUCUCGGCUAACUACGUGCCAGCAGCCGCGGUAACACGUAGGAGACAAGCGUUAUCCGGAUUUACUGGGUGUAAAGCGCGUGCAGGCGGACCUGUAAGUUGGAUGUGAAAGCUCCUGGCUUAACUGGGAGAGGUCGUGCAAGACUGCAGGUCUAGAGGACAGCAGAGGGGAGUGGAAUUCCGAGUGUAGCGGUAAAAUGCAUAGAUAUUCGGAAGAACACCAGUGGCGAAGGCGGCUCUCUGGGCUGUUCCUGACGCUCAGACGCGAAAGCUAGGGUAGCAAACGGGAUUAGAUACCCUAGUAGUC